AGGAUGAACGCUAGCGGCAGGCUUAACACAUGCAAGUCGAGGGGUAGAAGAAGCUUGCUUUUUUGAGACCGGCGCACGGGUGCGUAACGCGUAUGCAAUCUACCUUUUACAAAGGGAUAGCCCAGAGAAAUUUGGAUUAAUACCUUAUAGUAUUAAGUUUUGGCAUCAAGAUUUAAUUAAAGAUUUAUCGGUAAAAGAUGAGCAUGCGUCCCAUUAGUUAGUUGGUAAGGUAACGGCUUACCAAGACUUCGAU
rnacentral:rRNA from 1 species